GGGCCCGUAGCUCAGCGGUAGAGCACCUGACUUUUAAUCAGGGUGUCGAUGGUUCGAUACCAUCCGGGCUCACCA
rnacentral:tRNA from 1 species